rnacentral:rRNA from 1 species
CACCUCCAGCAUCCCCAGUAUUGGAGGCACUGCCUGCCCAGUGACUAGACAUUAAACGGCUGCGGUAUCCUGACCGUGCAAAGGUAGCAUAAUCAUUUGUUCUCUAAAUAAGGACUUGUAUGAGUGGCCACACGAGGGUUUUACUGUCUCUUACUUCCAAUCAGUGAAAUUGACCUCCCCGUGAAGAGGCGGGGAUAAACCAACAAGACGAGAAGACCCUAUGGAGCUUUAACUAACUAGCCCAAAGAAAAUAGACUUAACCACCAAGGGAUAACAACACUCUUUAUGGACUAGCAGUUUUGGUUGGGGUGACCUCGGAGAACAAAAAAUCCUCCGAGCGAUUUUAAAGACUAGACUUACAAGUCAAACCAAAUUAUCGCUUAUUGAUCCAAAAACUUAUUAAAAGGAACAAGUUACCCUAGGGAUAACAGCGCAAUCCUAUUCAAGAGUCCAUAUCGACAAUAGGGUUUACGACCUCGAUGUUGGAUCAGGACACCCCGAUGGUGCAACCGCUAUCAAAGGUUCGUUUGUUCAACGAUUAAAGUCCU